GAGUAACACGUGGAUAACCUACCUAUAAGACUGGGAUAACUUCGGGAAACCGGAGCUAAUACCGGAUAAUAUUUUGAACCGCAUGGUUCAAAAGGGAAAGACGGUCUUGCUGUCACUUAUAGAUGGAUCCGCGCUGCAUUAGCUAGUUGGUAAGGUAACGGCUUACCAAGGCAACGAUGCAUAGCCGACCUGAGAGGGUGAUCGGCCACACUGGAACUGAGA
rnacentral:rRNA from 1 species